rnacentral:rRNA from 1 species
GAUGAACGCUGGCGGCGUGCUUAACACAUGCAAGUCGAACGGAAAGGCUCCUGCUUGCAGGGGUACUCGAGUGGCGAACGGGUGAGUAACACGUGGGUGAUCUGCCCUGCACUUCGGGAUAAGCCUGGGAAACUGGGUCUAAUACCGGAUAGGACGAUGGUUUGGAUGCCAUUGUGGAAAGUUUUUCGGUGUGGGAUGAGCUCGCGGCCUAUCAGCUUGUUGGUGGGGUAAUGGCCUACCAAGGCGUCGACGGGUAGCCGGCCUGAGAGGGUGUACGGCCACAUUGGGACUGAGAGACGGACCAGACUCCUACGGGAGGCAGCAGUGGGGAAUAUUGCACAAUGGGCGCAAGCCGGAUGCAGCGACGCCGCGUGGGGGAUGACGGCCUUCGGGUUGUAAACUCCUUUCGCUAGGGACGAAGCGCAAGUGACGGUACCUGGAGAAGAAGCACCGGCUAACUACGUG